AUGACAUUUGAAGGGCUUCAGGCCGUCGAGGAGUUCUACAAGUCCUAUGCACAUCAUGUGGGUUUUGGAGUUCAUGUUGGACAGCAAAAAUUGUUGGAUAAUGAUGUGGUUCGGACAAAGCGCUUCAUGUGUAGUAGGGAAGGAUUCAAGGUUGAGAAGAGCAAGGAGAUUAAAGACCCAUCAAACCCAUCAAAGAAAAAUCGUAAGAAUACAACUACGCGAUGUGGUUGUGAUGCACAUAUCUUUGUCAAGUUGUGUGGCGACAACACGUACAAGAUACAAUCAUGGGUUGAGCACAAUAGUCAGGGCCUUGUAUCGCUUGAUAAACGCCACUUGAUCAGAUCAAAUCGUAAAGUUACUGAGAGGGCUAAAAAUACACUAUACACAUGUCACAAAGCAAGCAUAGGUACAUGCCAGGCAUACAGGCUCCUUCAAGUCAGCGAAGGUGGUUUUCCAUAA
rnacentral:rRNA from 1 species